GGGAGGGCAAAGGGCCCUGUCCUCCACCUGCCCCACCCGGCUGACAAGAGUCCCAGUCACCUGGCCACCCUCUCCGUCUGGGGCCCUUGAGGGAGCCCAGAAUCCCAAGCGGCUGGAGCACUGGGGGACACCCAGACAGAGCCCUCGCUGGACCAGAUCCUCCGGGAGCGGGAUGAAGCCAUUGCCAAGAGGACAUGCAAUGGCUGGUGAGGCAGCAGGUCAAGAGUCAGCUGCAGAGAGAGUCCAGGGGUGCUCUGGGAGCCCCCAUGGAGCCCGGAACUGCCAGGACCUCCUGGUUCCGAUUCCCCCUGAGUCGGUGGGGACGCUGGCGAUGACACAGCUCAGCCCAAGACCUUGGAAGGAGUGUGUUUAUUCAUUAAAGUUUGA